rnacentral:lncRNA from 1 species
AGUGUCCUUGAGCCUGUGGGCAGUGGAGAUGGGGUUUCACCGUGUUAGACAGGAUGGUCUUGAUCUCCUGACCUCAGGAUCCACCUGCCUCAGCCUCCCAAAGUGCUGGGAUUACAGACGUGAGCCACUGCGCCCGGCCGAGCCAUUCCUAUUUCCUCUUCAGUGAAAUGCUUGUUUACCUGGAAAUCAUGUGGGCAACUGCCAUAGAAGGGAAUCACCUGUAAGUAGGCACUGUAAUCCCACGUCUCAGCGGAGGAUCCCAGGGAGCGGUCCCACUGACAGCAAGUGGUGCUGCCUGAGUGAGCUCCUGGGAGCCUGGUCCAGAGCUUGAAACCCGGCACCAUUCCGUGUCUGUCUGAAUUCCACCAUUCAGAGAAAGAGACUCCGUAUCUCCCAGCCUUCCCAGAAAAAGGGCUGCCGCGCCUACCUGUAUUAGGGCUCUCCAGAGAAGCAGAACCAAUGUACAUACGGGGACAGCAGGGAGAGAUUUUAAGAACUGGCUCAUGCGAAUGUGGAAGCUGGCAAGUCUGCAAUCUCUGGGAACAGGCGCACAGGCUAGAAACUCAGGAUACUCAUGAAGAUAAGAGAAGAAUGUGGAGGCCCCUGGAUACACAGAGGACGCCGUUUCUUAAUGGACUCAGCUUUUCUCCAGGGAGCUCUUCUGUUGAAUUUUCUUUUCAGCACUGGGUCCACCAGGGGGCAGAUGAAGAAAGGGCCUGGAGAUUUGACGAUGUCAUUGGAGCACAGAGCUCCUCACUUUCAGACGUGAACUAACUGGCACUGCUCCUACCCAAGCUGCGAUCACACGGCUAAAUAGGUCUGGCCAGUACAUCAUGACCAUGCAAUGUCUCAUGCUUCAGAUUCCAUUCUCAGCUCCCCAAAGGGCCAGGAGAGUCUGGUGCUGGGACCCUGGCAGGAGCAUGCUAGCAAAAUUCAGGAUUUCUUUAGCCAAGGAAUGGCAGACUUCCAACCUGCAUAAGCAAUAACUUUACAACGGAAACGGAUGUAAAAAACCUGAGAAAGAGAAAAUGGAAGGACAUCCCAGAGAAAAAGUGUUUUUGUUUUUAAGGACAUAAGGACAGAAAAAUAAGAAAGAAAACGUCUACAGUAUAGUCUAAUGUCUAUAACUCUCCCUGAAGCUGUGGUUGGAAAAGAACUUUCUGAAAAAGGUUUUCACCUCUGUAAUGAACAUGCUCACUCUGACAGCACUUUUGGUUGACCUGAGAGUACACACAGCUGUGAGGCUGAUCUUGUUCGGCCAGUGUCCUGACCUCAGCCGCCCUUACUGCUCAGGCAGGAAUGGACUCAGCAGAUGGUACCUGGCAGACAUGCCUCCCAGGCGAUGCAGGAACCUUCUUCAUAGAACCUGCUCUAGAACGAAACCUCUGGCUGCUCCCCUGCACCUCACAGGCCAGCUGUCUCACCCCUUGUCAUUGAGCAUAAAGAUCAUUAUCACCC